UCAAAUCAUCAUGCCCUUUAUGUCCUGGGCUACACACGUACUACAAUGGCUGUUACAGAAAGAAACGAAGCAGUGAUGCGGAGUAAAACUUAGAAAGGCAGUCACAGUUCGGAUUGUAGGCUGAAAUUCGCCUACAUGAAGCCGGAAUUGCUAGUAAUUGCAGGUCAGCAUACUGCCAGUCGAAUACGUUCCCGGGCCUU
rnacentral:rRNA from 1 species